GCCAAUUCAACUCUGGUCAAUUCAACUCGGACACGCACGGCUGCAGCGGUAUCCAGGCAAGAGGCUGCAGUGCUCAUGGUCACUGUGCAGGAUGCCUGGGACUCUACACCUGUGACGUGGACCUUGGCAAGUGUCACCUCAAGGGGAUCUCACAGAGGACAGAAAGCAAGUUCUUCCAGACCCUGAGUGAUAGCAGACGGAGUUGACACCUAAGCCAACACAAUCCGAUGAUGAACCUUGACCUUUUCUACUGAUUCUGUUGUUGUUGUUGUUGUUGUUGUUGUUGUUGUUGUUGUUGUUGUUGUUG